CGGCGGGGCGCGGGGCUCGUGGCGCGGCGGGACUCGGGGAGGAUGCGGGCGGGAGGUCUGCGGGAGCCAGCGGGGAUUGUUGGAGAUGCCGCCCUCGGCCCGGCCGCAAGCGCAGCCGUCCCCCCCUCUUCCCUCCUGGCACCAGCAGCCGCGGGCCGCCGUCGCCCUCCACCUCCCGCCGGUCUUUGGGGGCCGCUGCCCUCUCGCGGCGCCGCCGAGGCUGCCGCCCCCGCUCCACUCCGGCAGGGGGCGGCCGUGGCCGUGUCGGAGCGUUCCCUUCCUCGGGGUGCCUUGGAGUAAACAAAGGCAGUUCCGUGGAAAGUGGAGCUCUUUAGAACCUCUUUUUCAUGGGCGCCACACAGACUAAGCAUCACAGAGGUGUGAGUCCAAGUGUAGCAAAGAAUUUGGUAAUUAUAUCAAAAAACACUGAAAAAUGCAUCAGCUGCAAUAUGAGGAAACUCAGUCACUAAAAGAAAAAGUACCUAGAAGAGAAACACAGUUGAGAAGAUUCUACUAAUAACUGACAAAUGAAAUAAAAAUGAAAAAGAAAUAGGGAAGAUUGAGCUUUCUGGACUCCUUCAGACUAUUGAUUUAAAUUAUAAACUUUCUGUAGCUUUGAUAAUGGCAAAAAUGUGAUGCUUCAGUGAAAAUUUAUAAAUAUAGUUGUAGUAGUUAAACAUUUCCAUAAGUAUGGUAGAAUAGAGUGCUGAAAGGACAGGUGUUUUAUAAUUUUGUUUUAUAAUUUUUCGUAUUUAAUAUUUUAAAGAUAGAUUCUUUUUCUGCUCUCCCUAGUUCUAGCAUUGCCCCAGUCACAUGUGUGUACUUUUCAUGUUUUAUUGAAACAGAUGGCAUAUCUCCUCCUUCCAGGCUCAGGCAAGGGGGGCGUAGGAAAUCUGGUAGGAUUAAAUUAUUUUGAAACAAGAAGACAUCUUUCUCAUAUCCCAUUUCUCAUACACCUGUUAGUCUUUCAAGCAGGCAGUGACAGUAAACACUCAGAAACAGGGAGCAUGUUUCAGUGGUGGUGUUCUGAAAACCCUGCACUGUUCAGUCCCUAUGACUACCUGUUUUUCAAAAACAGAGUCUAAAAGUUAGCAGCUAAGCUUGACUAAGCUCAACAGUAAUACUUUUAACAACCAAAAAGGCAGCAGAUUAGGCAUUUGUUCCAGCUCUAUUAGAAAACCUCUCCCCUAAAUCCACCAAAGUCACACAAGGCUCAGUGCUUUUGCAAAUCAGGUCAUUUCUUAAAGCAUAUAAACAUGAGUUCAGAAGCCUGAUUUUCAGUUUUUCAUUGUGAAAUUGUUGAACAAGCUUAAUUUUUACAGAAAUACUAAAAAGUCAGGGUUUCUAGAAUUUAAUAUAUGUAUAUGUGCUCUGGAGAAGACUUGGAAUGCUAUGAGUAAAAUGUAUUUUUCUGGCCUCUGGUUUCU